AACGAACGCUGGCGGCAGGCUUAACACAUGCAAGUCGAACGAGAUCUUCGGAUCUAGUGGCAGACGGGUGAGGAACACGUGGGAACAUCCCUUUCAGUUCGGAAUAACGUUGGGAAACUAACGCUAAUACCGGAUACGUCCUUCGGGAGAAAGAUUUAUCGCUGAAAGAUUGGCCCGCGGCUGAUGAGCUAGUUGGUGAGGUAACGGCUCACCAAGGCUACGAUCAGUAGCUGAUCUGAGAGGAUGAUCAGCCACAUUGGGACUGAGACACGGCCCAAACUCCUACGGGAGGCAGCAGUGGGGAAUAUUGGACAAUGGGCGCAAGCCUGAUCCAGCCAUGCCGCGUGAGUGAUGACGGCCUUCGGGUUGUAAAGCUCUUUUGUCUGGGAAGAUAAUGACUGUACCGGAAGAAUAAGCCCCGGCAAACUUCGUGCCAGCCGCCGCAGUAA
rnacentral:rRNA from 1 species